UACGGAGGGUGCGAGCGUUGUCCGGAAUCAUUGGGCGUAAAGGGCGCGUAGGUGGCUUCUUAAGCGUGCGGUGAAAGCCUGGGGCUCAACCCCGGGUCGGCCGUGCGAACUGGGGGGCUGGAGCACUGUAGAGGCAGGCGGAAUCCGGGUGGAGCGGUGAAAUGCGUAGAGAUCCGGAGGAACACCAACGGCGUAGGGCAGCGCCCUAGACGAGACCUGACGCUCAGGCACGAAAGCGCGGGGAGCGAACAGG
rnacentral:rRNA from 1 species